rnacentral:rRNA from 1 species
AAAAAAGGUAAGCUACUAAGAGCGAAUGGUGGAUGCCUUGACUGGUAAAGGCGAUGAAGGACGUACUAGACUGCGAUAAGCUACGGGGAGCUGUCAAGAAGCUUUGAUCCGUAGAUUUCCGAAUGGGGCAACCCAAUGUAUAGAGAUAUACAUUACCUAUAUAGGAGCGAACGAGGGGAAUUGAAACAUCUUAGUACCCUCAGGAAAAGAAAUCAAUAGAGAUUGCGUCAGUAGCGGCGAGCGAAAGCGCAAGAGGGCAAACCCAGUGCUUGCACUGGGGGUUGUAGGACUGCAAUGUGCAAGAGGUGAGUUUAGCAGAACAUUCUGGAAAGUAUAGCCAUAGAGGGUGAUAGUCCCGUAUGCGAAAAACAAACCUUAGCUAGCAGUAUCCUGAGUAGGGCGGGACACGAGAAAUCCUGUCUGAAGCUGGGUCGACCACGAUCCAACCCUAAAUACUAAUACCAGAUCGAUAGUGCACAAGUACCGUGAGGGAAAGGUGAAAAGAACUGAGGUGAUCAGAGUGAAAUAGAACCUGAAACCAUUUGCUUACAAUCAUUCAGAGCCCUAUGUAGCAAUACAGGGUGAUGGACUGCCUUUUGCAUAAUGAGCCUGCGAGUUGUGGUGUCUGGCAAGGUUAAGCAAACGCGAAGCCGUAGCGAAAGCGAGUCUGAAUAGGGCGCUUAGUCAGAUGCUGCAGACCCGAAACGAAGUGAUCUAUCCAUGAGCAAGUUGAAGCUAGUGUAAGAACUAGUGGAGGACUGAACCCAUAGGCGUUGAAAAGCCCCGGGAUGACUUGUGGAUAGGGGUGAAAGGCCAAUCAAACUUCGUGAUAGCUGGUUCUCUCCGAAAUAUAUUUAGGUAUAGCGUUGUGUCGUAAUAUAAGGGGGUAGAGCACUGAAUGGGCUAGGGCAUACACCAAUGUACCAAACCCUAUCAAACUCCGAAUACCUUAUAUGUAAUCACAGCAGUCAGGCGGCGAGUGAUAAAAUCCGUCGUCAAGAGGGAAACAACCCAGACUACCAGCUAAGGUCCCUAAAUCUUACUUAAGUGGAAAACGAUGUGAAGUUACUUAAACAACCAGGAGGUUGGCUUAGAAGCAGCCAUCCUUUAAAGAAAGCGUAAUAGCUCACUGGUCUAGUGAUUUUGCGCGGAAAAUAUAACGGGGCUAAAGUAAGUACCGAAGCUGUAGACUUGCACACAACUUAGAUUAUUUAAGUUUAGAAUAUGAGAAACUAAGUUAUAUGUUUAGUUAUAUUUUUACUGAUUUUUAUAGAGUAAAGAUAGAAAUAAAACUUAGUAAAAUCAGUAAAAAUAUUCUUAGACUAAAGUUAAGUAGUUUAAGUUGUGUGCAAGUGGUAGGAGAGCGUUCUAUUUGCGUCGAAGGUAUACCGGUAAGGAGUGCUGGAGCGAAUAGAAGUGAGCAUGCAGGCAUGAGUAGCGAUAAUUAAUGUGAGAAUCAUUAACGCCGUAAACCCAAGGUUUCCUACGCGAUGCUCGUCAUCGUAGGGUUAGUCGGGUCCUAAGUCGAGUCCGAAAGGGGUAGACGAUGGCAAAUUGGUUAAUAUUCCAAUACCAACAUUAGUGUGCGAUGGAAGGACGCUUAGGGCUAAGGGGGCUAGCGGAUGGAAGUGUUAGUCUAAGGUCGUAGGAGGUUAUACAGGCAAAUCCGUAUAACAAUACUCCGAGAACUGAAAGGCUUUUUGAAGUCUUCGGAUGGAUAGAAGAACCCCUGAUGCCGUCGAGCCAAGAAAAGUUUCUAAGUUUAGCUAAUGUUGCCCGUACCGUAAACCGACACAGGUGGGUGGGAUGAGUAUUCUAAGGCGCGUGGAAGAACUCUCUUUAAGGAACUCUGCAAAAUAGCACCGUAUCUUCGGUAUAAGGUGUGGUUCGCUUCGUAUUAGGAUUUACUCCGAAAGCGAAGAAACUUACAACAAAGAGUCCCUCCCGACUGUUUACCAAAAACACAGCACUCUGCUAACUCGUAAGAGGAUGUAUAGGGUGUGACGCCUGCCCGGUGCUCGAAGGUUAAUUGAUGGGGUUAGCAUUAGCGAAGCUCUUGAUCGAAGCCCGAGUAAACGGCGGCCGUAACUAUAACGGUCCUAAGGUAGCGAAAUUCCUUGUCGGUUAAAUACCGACCUGCAUGAAUGGCGUAACGAGAUGGGAGCUGUCUCAAAGAGGGAUCCAGUGAAAUUGUAGUGGAGGUGAAAAUUCCUCCUACCCGCGGCAAGACGGAAAGACCCCGUGGACCUUUACUACAGCUUGACACUGCUAUUUGGAUAAGAAUGUGCAGGAUAGGUGGGAGGCUUUGAGUAUAUGACGCCAGUUGUAUAUGAGCCAUUGUUGAGAUACCACUCUUUCUUAUUUGGGUAGCUAACCAGCUUGAGUUAUCCUCAAGUGGGACAAUGUCUGGUGGGUAGUUUGACUGGGGCGGUCGCCUCCCAAAUAAUAACGGAGGCUUACAAAGGUUGGCUCAGAACGGUUGGAAAUCGUUCGUAGAGUAUAAAGGUAUAAGCCAGCUUAACUGCAAGACAUACAAGUCAAGCAGAGACGAAAGUCGGUCUUAGUGAUCCGGUGGUUCUGUGUGGAAGGGCCAUCGCUCAAAGGAUAAAAGGUACCCCGGGGAUAACAGGCUGAUCUCCCCCAAGAGCUCACAUCGACGGGGAGGUUUGGCACCUCGAUGUCGGCUCAUCGCAUCCUGGGGCUGGAGCAGGUCCCAAGGGUAUGGCUGUUCGCCAUUUAAAGCGGUACGCGAGCUGGGUUCAGAACGUCGUGAGACAGUUCGGUCCCUAUCUGCCGUGGGCGUAAGAAGAUUGAAGAGAUUUGACCCUAGUACGAGAGGACCGGGUUGAACAAACCACUGGUGUAGCUGUUGUUCUGCCAAGAGCAUCGCAGCGUAGCUAAGUUUGGAAAGGAUAAACGCUGAAAGCAUCUAAGCGUGAAGCCAACUCUAAGAUGAAUCUUCUCUAAGCUCUCUAGAAGACUACUAGUUUGAUAGGCUGGGUGUGUAAUGGAUGAAAGUCCUUUAGCUGACCAGUACUAAUAGAGCGUUUGGCUUAUCUUUAAUAAAGCAU